AGCACCCGGGUGACGGGAGGCACACCGCAGUGCGUGGCAUCACAGGGCGCAGCAACCCCGCCACGCUCUGCGUGUGGGGAGAAGCCAAGCAGCCUCCACCUAUCCCAUGCCAAUGCCGAGCGAACCGCUGGUGGUGACGGGGCCCAGCACCCACGACGUAGGGGAGUCAGAGCGGUGCAUCGCUACGGAUGUCGGCGGUUGGGUCCUGGACGGCGGUGCGUCGGAGCGGCCUGCGACGGCGCACGUGCUUGCGCCUUUUAUAUGUGGCAGGCAGAGCUUCAACGCGACUUGAGCGUGCCCCACACACCAGGCCCUCGCACUGCCCACCUGGUGGGAGGAGCCCCGAGUGUCGCGCCGAGGGACGCCACCAGGGGUGGCGACCGGGGAUGGUGGGCGCGGCUGUGAGGCGACCCGCAACGCGGGUGAGUGGGUAGAGGUUUGGGGCAGGGGCUGUGCGCCGGUGACCGAGUCGACGCACUGCUGCAACUCGUGUCUACGGCUUCUUCGCAGCACGGGAUGAGACCUGUGACUCGCCGGUUGGUGGGGGUGGGGGGCUCAAGAGCGGUGUGGAGCUCGUGUCGCACGGUACAGAAGGUGGACACGCUGCAAGGGUGGAGAGAAGACGCCAGCGCCCUCUGACUGUUUAUCAUAACGUGUGUGCGUCUUGGUUGACGCCCUUCUCAUAGAGGAGGCAAUCGUGCAAGCGCAGAUGAGGCGCAGGGCUGUCCCGAAAGCCCCGGCUGCGUUGGGCCGCACGUAAGCUGUUGCCGGUUUUCGUGCUCUCACGGGGUCGAUGGCGCUUCACGGUGGUGAUGCGAACGACCUCGAGCAGAGCGGGUGAUGCGCAGUGCGCUUUUUCCGGGUGCAUCGCGCGCACCGUGAAGAUUGUUUUCCCGAGGUUUGUGUGCCACGGAGAGAAAGGGUAGCUUGAGUUGCGCGCACGUGAGGUCAGCGGUGGGCGGAGAGCCUCCUGUGCGGGGGGAGAAGGCUGCACAGCCGCCACACGCGUGAUGCUCCUCGUCGUUGUCCUUUGUUGCACCGUUUCUUUAAAAAAAUGUUUUGUGUCGAGCCUGUGCGGCAAAUUUUGUGAGUGUGGUAUCGAAGAGGCUUGAUGGCAAGCAGGAGCUAGAGUGACGUGUAGGCGUCUCGUCGAUGGACUUCGUAACGCCCUGCGCUUUCUCUCUUAGCGCUCUGCCUCUGUGCCCCUUCGAUAGCCGCCAGGUCUGCUUUACUGCCUAAGCGAACCUCCUUCGGCCCCCCACCGCCUACCACACCCG
rnacentral:misc_RNA from 1 species